UCUGAAAAUGUGUUGAAUUGUGAC
rnacentral:siRNA from 1 species